AACGAACGCUGGCGGCAUGCCUAACACAUGCAAGUCGAACGAGACCUUCGGGUCUAGUGGCGCACGGGUGCGUAACGCGUGGGAAUCUGCCCUUGGGUUCGGAAUAACAGUUGGAAACGACUGCUAAUACCGGAUGAUGACGUAAGUCCAAAGAUUUAUCGCCCAAGGAUGAGCCCGCGUAGGAUUAGCUAGUUGGUGAGGUAAAGGCUCACCAAGGCGACGAUCCUUAGCUGGUCUGAGAGGAUGAUCAGCCACACUGGGACUGAGACACGGCCCAGACUCCUACGGGAGGCAGCAGUGGGGAAUAUUGGACAAUGGGCGAAAUCAUGAUCCAGCAAUGCCGCGUGAGUGAUGAAGGCCUUAGGGUUGAAAAGCUCUUUUACCCGGGAUGAUAAUGACAGUACCGGGAGAAUAAGCUCCGGCUAACUCCGUG
rnacentral:rRNA from 1 species